AUUGAACGCUGGCGGCAUGCCUUACACAUGCAAGUCGAACGGCAGCAUAGGAGCUUGCUCCUGAUGGCGAGUGGCGAACGGGUGAGUAAUAUAUCGGAACGUGCCCUAGAGUGGGGGAUAACUAGUCGAAAGACUAGCUAAUACCGCAUACGAUCUACGGAUGAAAGUGGGGGAUCGCCAGACCUCAUGCUCCUGGAGCGGCCGAUAUCUGAUUAGCUAGUUGGUGGGGUAAAAGCCUACCAAGGCAACGAUCAGUAGCUGGUCUGAGAGGACGACCGGCCACACGUGGACUGAGACACGGCCCAGACUCCUACGGGAGGCAGCAGUGGGGAAUUUUGGACAAUGGGGGCAACCCUGAUCCAGCAAUGCCGCGUGAGUGAAGAAGGCCUUCGGGUUGUAAAGCUCUUUUGUCAGGGAAGAAACGGUAGUAGCGAAUAACUAUUACUAAUGACGGUACCUGAAGAAUAAGCACCGGCUAACUACGUGCCAGCAGCCGCAGUAA
rnacentral:rRNA from 1 species